UGUUUUAAGGAGCAGCCAGGCCUCUUGCAGACCUUUAUGACUCAUGUUAUCUCCCUCAUGCGCGUUGACAAUACCACGUGUUGACACUGAUGAAUGAGUGAAUUGGCUGAGAGCCUCCAUAGCAGGCUUGUGACAUGAUGUUACUGAGAUGGAAGAAGGGGUGACAAUUAAAUCCACCGUGUUAAGAGCUAUUGCAUUGUUUUUCUAUGUUUAACAAAUUAUUGUCAAUCAGAUUAGCCUGUUUUCUUUUACUGAUUACUGAUGGUCUUUCUGUUUUGCCCAGGAGUGAUCCUCUGAUUCAAUAUUUGUGGUUUGUUCUUGCUGUUUUCAUGCAAGACCUGGUUGUUACCUCAUGUAUGAACAGGUAAUAUAUGGAUCAGAAACACCAGCAAAUGACUUAAAAGGAUAGUAUCUUACUGUUAUAGGCACAUAACAGGGUAAUUAUUUUGAUGUUUGUUUCACAUAAGCCAUCAUCACGUCUACAUUUAGAUUCAAUGCUGAUAGCUGUUGUUUUUUGUUUUAUUUUGUUUUUGUUUUUGUUUUUUAAAUUCAUUGGCAAACAGGAGUAUUUAUAGGAACAUUAAGUCAUUUUGUCAUUUGAUUACAUAUAAAACAAGUGUUGUGUCACUAUGGGUGGCUGUUCACUGAUACUGUACUUCUUACACAUUCAGUAGAUAUGUAUAUUUUGUUUUGCACAGUAAUAAAGCAAACAAAUUUUCAUUAAUAUAUGGAAUAUUCAUGUUACUGUACUCAUGAUUGAAUAGAUGUAACCUAAUUUUUUUUUUUUUUUGACCUGUUGUUUUAUCAUACCAAAUUAUACAUGGACUCUGUAAUAAUACCUUUUUUUUCAUAAAUGCUAAAUGAAAGAUGGUACAAGUGUUGUUUUGUUGAGCAUUUAUUUUCUCUCAAAUUUAACAUUUUGCAUGCAUAUUAUUCUGAUCUCUAAAUAUGCACAGUAUUAUUAUUAUUAUUAGUUAGCUAAAUUUAUGCAGCAUUAAACGCAACAUUUUUUAGCUCCAAAGUUUAUCGCGGUUAAUUAACUAAUUAACCGUUAGCAAACAGGCGCCCUGUCAUUCUCACGACCUGCACACACAGAGCGACGGUAGCAUUCAUGUGGAGUCAUGUUGCUGACCAGCUGUUGAACCUCAGGGAAAUGCAGGCCAUCCAAACAUGACCAAUGGCUGUUGUAAAGUUUUAGGGUGAGUUUGUGUACCGUCCCGUGGUUUUCCAGGCGGACAGAGGGCCCGGGCUGAAGCGUCUCUCCAUUCAGAGCCCAGACAGGAGGCUUGUUUAUGGCGACGGACACCUCGCACUGGAAAGACGCGGGCUCAGACUCAUUUACCUCCACAUUCUUUAACUCUUUGACCAUUACAAGGGCUUGGGCUGCAGUGGCACAGAGAGAAAGAAGUUUUUAUCAUUGUAUGAUGGAAUUGAAGUAUUGAAGUAUAGUAUGCAGUAUUUUUUGCCAUUACUGAAAACUCACCACACCCAACCACACUUAAUAAUUUGUAAGCUGGAGUGGAGUGUUAAAGGUAAUUAAUAUGAGGCUCCUUCAAGUACGUUAGCUUUGGUCCUCGGCUCUCAGCCCAGCUUACCUUCCACCAUCAGUUUGGCUUUGGAUGUGUGCUCCCCAACCAUGAUGCUGUAGGUGCCCUCAUCCUCCACAACCACGUGCUGGAUCACCAGUUUUAGAGAGCAGCCGUCAGCCAAGAUCUCCACUCUGUCUGAGGGAACCAGCUCCUCCUUGCCCUUGUACCAGGUGGCACUGCAGCGAGGCGAGGAAACGGUGCAUUCAAGGAUCACACGGUGUUUCUCCAGGGCUGUGCGAUCUCGCAGGGGUUUUACAAUGGAAACGGGGAGCUCUGAAGUGAAAGGAAUAGUUUUUCUUAAUUUGUUAUGCAGCAUGUUUAGGCUACUGACACAUGAAAAAAGAAGCCAGAUAUUCUAGAGGUAAAAAUGGACUUACCUUCUACCUCAAGUGCGGAUCUUGAUGGUACUAGUGGGCCGGAUCUUGUGGCCGUCUUUGUACCACUCCCCAGUCACCUCCUCCAGAGAAACCUCACACAUGAAGACAGCAUUCUGGUCCUCCUGAAUGUAAAGGUCCUCCAGAUCAUGUACUAUCUCCAACUUAUGCUCUGUGAGGUCCCAGAGUCAGCCCGGGAGCACUGCAUGAUCUGACAGAACCGCUUCCGGCCCAUGGAGUAGAUCCGACAGUUCUUUCCUGGCUUCAGCUCCUUCCCGUCCUGACACAAAGACGUAACGGGAGAGAGGCAUCCCUCCUAAAUGAAAUCACUCCCCAUUGUCUUACCACACAACUUUGGCAUCAUCUGUGGAGACGUGGCAAAGCAGCACCACAGGGUCCAGCUCCAUGCUGCUCUUAUGGAGUUCCUCCUCUGGAACCGGCGUGAACUCCACGGGAGGACCUGAAAAACCAGAAAUGGACAGCUUUGGGAAACUCCACAUGGCCACUUCGCCCGUAUUUGUUGAUGCAGCAGAGACGGAACCGGUAGUGGCCUUCGCAUGGCACGCUGUCGCCAGCGACCUCAACUGAAGUGCCUGUCUCUGAGGUAAAACACUUCUGCCACUCUUGGGAGCCCACCUCUUGUCUCUCCACGACAAAGACGGAUCGGGUGGACGUCUGGCUGUUGGGGGCUGGAACCCAGAACACAGCGUUCUCACCCUCCAGGACCUCCAGUUUCCGGGGAAGUUUCCGAACAAUAGUGCCUAGAUACACUCCAUCGUCAUCUGUCCCAACAUCAUGGAUAGUCAGUCUCCGUUUGGUUCCUUUCUGCUCCAUCCCAUAUUUACUGCUCGGCAUCAGCCGCUGGUCCUCCAGAUACCAGGCGGAUGGGACAGACUCAUCGG